AAGUCGCAACAAGGUUUCCGUAGGUGAACCUGCGGAAGGAUCAUUAACGAAGUUUGGACUUUUGUCCUCUCUCUUCUACACACAUUGUGAAUUCCUAUCCCUGUUUGGCAGUUUGGACAGGUAUCGUGGUGUCAUCAUUGCAAGUUGCAGGCUGACAUCAGUCAAGUCUUUCAUUAGACGCUUGCCAAGGACAUUUACCAACCGCCUUUUUUAUUUGUCUGAUUAUUGUUUUUAACAAAUGUAAUAAAA
rnacentral:misc_RNA from 1 species